UGGGAAGUAAAAGUCGUAACAAGGUCUCCGUUGGUGAACCAGCGGAGGGAUCAUUACAGAGUUACUACUCCAAACCCAUUGUGAACCUUACCUAUGUUCUGUUGCCUCGGCGGCGUGGUCAGCGCCCCCUCUGAAAAGAGGACGAUGCCCUCCCGCCGGCAGCACCAAACUCUUCGAAUUUUACAGCGGAUUACAGUUCUGAUUUGAAAACAAAAAACAAGUUAAAACUUUCAACAACGGAUCUCUUGGUUCUGGCAUCGAUGAAGAACGCAGCGAAAUGCGAUAAGUAAUGUGAAUUGCAGAAUUCAGUGAAUCAUCGAAUCUUUGAACGCACAUUGCGCCCGGCAGUAAUCUGCCGGGCAUGCCUGUCCGAGCGUCAUUUCAACCCUCGAACCUCCGUUUCCUCAGGGAAGCUCAGGGUCGGUGUUGGGGCGCUACGGCGAGUCUUCGCGACCCUCCGUAGGCCCUGAAAUACAGUGGCGGUCCCGCCGCGGUUGCCUUCUGCGUAGUAAGUCUCUUUUGCAAGCUCGCAUUGGGUCCCGGCGGAGGCCUGCCGUCAAACCACCUAUAACUCCAGAUGGUUUGACCUCGGAUCAGGUAGGGUUACCCGCUGAACUUAAGCAUAUCAAUAAGCGGAGGAA
rnacentral:misc_RNA from 1 species